rnacentral:rRNA from 1 species
UACGUAGGGUGCGAGCGUUGUCCGGAAUUAUUGGGCGUAAAGAGCUUGUAGGCGGUCUGUCGCGUCUGCUGUGAAAAUCCGGGGCUCAACCCCGGACUUGCAGUGGGUACGGGCAGACUAGAGUGUGGUAGGGGAGACUGGAAUUCCUGGUGUAGCGGUGAAAUGCGCAGAUAUCAGGAGGAACACCGAUGGCGAAGGCAGGUCUCU